GACGAACGCUGGCGGCGCGCCUAACACAUGCAAGUCGAACGGAGUCAAGAGGAGCUUGCUUUUCUUGACUUAGUGGCGAACGGGUGAGUAACGCGGGAGUAACCUGCCCUGGAGUGGGGGACAACAGUUGGAAACGACUGCUAAUACCGCAUAAGCCCACGGCUCCGCAUGGAUCUGCGGGAAAAGGAUUUAUUCGCUUCAGGAUGGACUCGCGUCCAAUUAGCUAGUUGGUGAGGUAACGGCCCACCAAGGCGACGAUUGGUAGCCGGACUGAGAGGUUGAACGGCCACAUUGGGACUGAGACACGGCCCAGACUCCUACGGGAGGCAGCAGUGGGGGAUAUUGCACAAUGGGGGAAACCCUGAUGCAGCGACGCCGCGUGGAGGAAGAAGGUUUUCGGAUUGUAAACUCCUGUCGUUAGGGACGAUAAUGACGGUACCUAACAAGAAAGCACCGGCUAACUACGUG
rnacentral:rRNA from 1 species